rnacentral:misc_RNA from 1 species
CGCACAUUGCGCCCGCCAGUAUUCUGGCGGGCAUGCCUGUUCGAGCGUCAUUUCAACCCUCAAGCCCCCGGGCUUGGUGUUGGGGCUCGGCCCGUCCCUAGCGGAUGGGCCGUCCCCGAAAUCUAGUGGCGGUCUCGCUGUUGCCUCCUCUGCGUAGUAGCUAACACCUCGCAAUGGGAACGCAGCGUGACCACGCCGUUAAACCCCCCACUUCUGAAGGUUGACCUCGGAUCAGGUAGGAAUACCCGCUGAACUUAA